rnacentral:rRNA from 1 species
CACCGGCGGCUCGAGUGGUGGCCACUUUUAUUGGGUCUAAAGCGUCCGUAGCCGGCGUGGCAAGUCCCCUGGGAAAUCUGGCGGCUUAACCGUCAGGCGUCCAGAGGAUACUGCCAGGCUUGGGACCGGGAGAGGUGAGAGGUACCUCAGGGGUAGGGGUGAAAUCUUGUGAUCCCUGAGGGACCACCAGUGGCGAAGGCGUCUCACUAGAACGGGUCCGACGGUCAGGGACGAAAGCUGGGGGCACGAACCGG